GCACUGGUGGUUCAGGUAGAAUUCUUGCCUGCCACGUGGGAGGCCCGGGUUCGAUUCCCGGCCAAUGCA
rnacentral:tRNA from 1 species